GUCCACUAUCUCAAAUAAAUUCUAGUAUAUCUACCAACUAAUUACAUUUCAGUCCCUACAAUGUUAGGUACCUUGGGCUUUUUCAGAUUACUUUUGAUUUGGGGAAAGAAUUUUAAAAAAUGUUUCCACUGCAAUUAUUUAAUGAUUCAACCUUCCUAGAAACUUAAACUUCAGAGGAGCAAAUAGCCUCAACAGAGGACUAAUUAAGCUUCUUGUUACCCUGGUGAAGUAGGGAGAAUAAGUACGCAGUGAGGCUGCAAUCAUUUCCUCUGAAGUUCGAUUAAAAGCCAAGUUUUAAAAUGUUAGACCAGUGCUAAUCUGCAUGAGUGCUUCGGGUUUCAUUUGAGAAAGAAUUGUGGUUGCAAACAUUAACACUAAAAUAUGUGAAUCUAUUUCCAUAAUCAGGGUCCUACGGGAUGGAGCCUAGAUUUAAUAUGGCUUUGGCGCUUACAUGUUUUCUAGUACAUUGAUUAAUACUGUCCUGUCAUGUGGAACCCAAUCAGGGGCAACCUGCCAGAGGACUAUUUUCUAUAAAUUUAAGCUGAACUAAUAUCUGUGGAAAUCUUAAGACUAAAGAAGAGUUGAUGAAUAUACUACAAUUAAAGUUGCCUUGUGAAUUGAAGAAUGAAGCAAAGGAUAAUGAACAUAUUGAAAUGAUUCCACAUGUUUUAUGCAUGACACAUUUGUAAUUAAAACAGAUCCUGAAGCUACUCCCACUAAGUGCUCGGCACUGGGCUAGGACAUGCUGCUCACUAUUGCGAGUGAUUGCAGCAACUCAGUUUUGAAUAUUUAUAUAUAUUGAGGUGAAGAAUCUUCCUUGACUACAUCUGAGGAGUUGUGGAAUCAUCAGAAGGAAGUCUUUCUAACAACACACUACAGCUUUGGAACGUAGUUUCCCUGCCAUAAAUCUUCACCAUCUCUGCCAUUCUCCUUCUGUUGUGUCAACCCUUGCUCCUCAUUUUACAGGUAAUUGCCCCUUCAAUUUUACGUGAUUUUUAAUUUUACAAGAUUAAUUGUCCCUUCCUUCUAGAAGCUUCCAUGACCUCUCAAGAAUGGGUUAAGGGCUUCCUUAGGCACUACCAGAACAGCUUAGACUUCCCCAUCAUGACACUCAUUGCUCUGCAUUGUAUUCUGUCUGCUUACUUGUCUCUUUCCCUUACUGGACUAUAAAUUCCCAGGGCUAGACUCUAUUUCUCUUUUGUGUAUUAUUUUUUCCCCAGGUACAAACUAGGCUUCAAGAAAUAUUUGUUGAGUGAAAAAAGUGCGAAUACACUUAUUUAAGUUAUAGUUACUCUAAAUACUCUGAUAUAAUUUUGGUGAAAAAAGAAACCAUGGCUUAAGUUACAGAUAUAAUAGUUUUUUAAAAGUUUAUAUCAAUAUAUUUUUAAUGAGGAUGUUAUGCACUCUAAUCUCCUGCAAUGAAUUAUUUGCUAAUGUAUUAGCAGGUACGUUGUAAAAAGUCAAACUAAUAUCAAUACUGUUUGUAAAAUUUAUAGGUAUGAUUUACUAAUGUAUUGAUAGUCUAUUGUAGUCAGUGGUUUCUAGAGUAUACUCUUUUGCUGUGCUGGCUAUUUACAGUGUAUUAUGUUUUUAUAAUAAAAUAUCAAAAUA